GGUAGCAUGGCCGAGCGGUCUAAGGCGCUGGUUUAAGGCACCAGUCAUUUGGAUGGCGUGGGUUCGAAUCCCACUGCUGCCA
rnacentral:tRNA from 1 species